UGGCAAUAUGUUUCUAAGCUUCAGAGAUCCACCAAAGAAAAAUAAUUUCCUCUUGUGGACAAAAGAUGAACUCUUCUGUAAGGGUUUCCUGGCAUCAAAUUGCACAGAGGGUGCAAUUUAAAGCAAGAAAUGACGAGAGAUCCCAGAGCCUCAGCCAUUGCCCUUAAACUUCAUUAGAACUGAUGAAUCUCCACAAGUUUCUUCCACUUUGUCGAAUAUAAUUCCAGACUAAGAGGAGAUUUGAUGGACUGUAAGACCUUUUCUUGUGAGGAACCAAGCUGUGCUCCUGCAGAAAUUCAACUCCUUUGACCAGCAGAGAAGCAAAGGCGAGACUGAUUACAUGGAAAUUUCCUCUUUUCAGGUAGUGGGAACCCCGUUUUGGAGGUUCUUACCCUGAUGGUCUCUUUUGGGCAAUGCUCAUGUCCUCCAGUUGGAAUGGGACUGUAUCUAUACACAUGAAUUGAGACAUGUGUCUCCAUUUACUUUGUUUUCUGCUCCUUUAAUCCACUGGGCAAAAAUAAAUACACCCCACAACCAGUCCCCAGCAUUUCUCAGGUGACUGCACCCCACUGAGUUGUGAUAACCUUUGCUUACGUACUUGCAUAGACUCCAAAAAGCCUCGCAGCCACAAAUCUGGGAGCUGAGCAAAGAAAUUUUAUUCUAAUGGCUGUGCAAUGGAAGUUCUUUCAGCAAUGCCCCUGGUGAGGUUAGAUGAAUUCUAUGCUCUCUUUGUGCUAACACAAAUUACUACCUGUAGUGUUUGAUGGGAGAGCAUUUGUUUGGCAGCUGACAAGUGUCUCAUCUCUCCCUUUAUUCUAGUUUGGGGUGGAAUUUGUGAAUGUUUUUUUCAAUUUCAUAUAGAAUGUGCUGAACCUGCCAUAAUAAAAAUUUAUAGGUUAGUGAUUACUGAGGUUUCCUUCUCUCACAAAUAGACAUUAUUAUUCUUCACAUACAAGUAAGCAUAUUCACUUGUGGCAGCAUUUUAUAAAAUGUUCAUGAUAACCACAGACCUGUAAUUGUCCUUAAUCAUUUGUUGAUUCAGAAACAUCAUUUGCUACUGCAUUGCUUCACCUACUCAGAUGUUUUCUGCUGGCACAUCUUGGUUCAGGUGUUUGAAGGGUUAGUGACUGAGGAAGUUUGUGCUCUGCCAAAGCUGCAUGGGAUGGUUGCUUGGUAACAAUACUUGUGGCAUAAAAAGCAUUGCGUCAGGCACAUGCCUGUUCUACCUCUUUAUAGGGGACAGGGAAGAAUUAUAGAGAAGAUAUAUUUUAUUUAAGGAGCCUAGGAGAUCUAGAAGAAUUGCUGCCUGAGAGACAAAGUUGAAAAGGGAAUGCUUUGAAACCAAUAUAUCAUUGGAGACUGCCUUCAGUAAACCACUGCAGAAUUAAAUUAAAUUCCAUUGGAACUCUCUAGAUAGCUGUCAUGGUAAAAUAACCUGCUUCCAGCUGCUUGCUGAAAAUCUCACCCCUGCAAGGCAGCCAGCUGCUUUGGGGAACCAUUUGUGCAUAAGGUCUUCCACAUUUUGGCCUCAGAAGGCCUUCCAAAACAUUUAAACUCCAAGCCAGACCACAUGUUGCUGUCUGCUGCUGUGGCAGUCACCAGGCACUGCCCAGCCUGCUCUCACAAGGGCAGACACAGCACCACACAGCAGCCUGAGUGAGUGCUUGGGGAGAGCUUCUCCACAACUCCCACUGCUCCCAUGACCCACAGACUGGCCAAAGCAGUACCUGCUGAAGAGAUUAAGCUUUAUUAAAUUGCUCUCAGGGCUGGAUGGGAUCUGUAUUAUUUCCUUCUCAUCUUCUCCACUGUUUACUAGCAGGCUUAAUCCUGUGUCUGUGCACUUGUCAAGCUAGCAAAGUUCAAUUCUUUAGUAAUUAAUAAACACUAAAGGGGCAGAAGUACCCAGACAGAUUGAAGGGGUAUUUUGCCUGCCAGAGAUCAUAGGUUACUACCAUGGCUGUCAAAAUGCAGUUCGGAAAACAACAAACAUCUAUGAAGAAUCUGUGAAUACCUUUACAGUUUACCUUACCUUAUCAGCUCUACUCGUUUUGGAUGGGCAGAGAGGUAUGCUGGUCCCAAAGAGUAAAGAUUACAUGAGCUUGGAAGAAAAUGUGUUUUGCUAAAGAACCACUAAACUGAGAUGGGAAGAGACCUCCAGAAAUUGUCUAGUCCAAUCCCAUCACUCAGAGUGUCAACUAGAACAUGCUGUCCAGCACAUUGUCCAGCCCUUAUUUCACAGGAACUCUAAUCCAUAGCUUUUACUCUUUUCAAGCCUCUCUUGAGUCCUCAGAAGUUCACCCUGACCUAUAACAUUGAUGCCUCAGGUUUUAGCUAUUGUAUUUUUCAGGUUCUGUGCUGCUUUAGUGUGUAGUUCUGAGCUUCAUAUUGAGGGAUGGUAAGCUCUCUUCACAGAGUAGGGAGACAAAACAAUUCCUUCUCUAGCUGGGGACCAAGGACAAAUUAUCCAAAUUUCAGGCCCAAGAGCAUAAACAAUGUGAACACAAGAGAAAAGAAAAGAAAAAGAAAAGAAAAAAAAAAAAAAAAAAAAGUCUUCAUAAGCUGAAGCUGAAAUUGGACAAUUUACUCCAAUAUGCAAAUGGACCAGAACUUAUAAAAGUGUGAGACCCUGUGACCCCUCAUCCAUUUUGUGACAUUCUGGGUUCAUCUUGGGUGUAGCCCUGGCUGGGCUCUUUUGCUGUCCAAGGUGUAUCUAUUGAGCCCUUCUAAUAAAUACCUACUUUAUUCUUUAACUCUGCUUUAACUUUAACCUUUUUUAUUCUUUAAGUCUGCCUAGCGUCUAUUCUAGGUCAGCCUUCACAAGGCAUCACAUAAAGCCAGAUGUGGCAAUGUCAAAAGGAAGAGAUAGGGUUUUCUAGCCAAACUCCCUGUUCAUUACAGUCAGAGAUGUUUGUCUAUUAAUUGUGGCAUCAAGUCCAAUAACCUCUGGCUGAUAAGAGCAAGUCUUUCAAGAUGACAUUUUAAUCUUCACUCUAAAACUCUGAAUGACAGAGAAGCUAAAAAACCCCUUGGACAAAUUACUCUGAUGAUUAAUUGCCCCUUCUAUUAAUAAUAAUUUUUAAAAGACAGUAUUUGCAUUUUUUCAUGAAUAUGAUAAGUGUGUCUGCUAGAUUAAAGAGACUUCUAUUUCUGUGGUUUUUCCCCCAGAUAGAUAUUUAUGCACCAUGAUAUUUAUAUUUUUAUAUGCUCCUUGCUGAUACAUUCAUAGCAGCCAUAGCAUAAUGUUCCACACCAUUUUAAUAAUCAUCCAAUCACUGUUUUGCUCUGCUACUAUGGAUUUGAUCAAAUAGAUUUUAUAUGAUCCAUCACAGUGUAUUCUAUAAAGAACUGAAAGGAAAGUAAGUACUGGUCAGCUACUGUGAAGUGAGGAAAAAGAUCUAACCCUUGAAAUGGAAGUUUGUCAUCAAAUCUUCUGCCUUCUACAUUUUGUUGUCGUUAAAUGGAAACUUAAUCCUGAGCACCAAAUGAUUUAAAAUAAACGGCUGUUGAGCACUGUAGAGUCAGGAGAUUGUGUAGUGCUUGUGUGCUCAUCUUUGCUUGAAUUGUUUCACUUUUUGUUGCUAACCCAGUUUAAUCCAGCAUUACUCAUGUUUUAUACUUGCAGAACCUGGAUAAAAUGUGUCUGGGGAUAAGUGUAUUCUCUCCAGAGAAAGGAGCCAUGCAAGCAGAGCCAAGAAUCCAUCAUACCUUAGCACCUGCCACUCCCCUUUUUCCUAACUCCCUCCCUGUGCCAAAAUACUUCAGUCACAUCAAUAGAAUCCUGCAAAAGUAGGCCCUGGAUAUAUAUUAAAGUUGUGACAGCAGACUUCCUGACAUGGCCUGCCCCUUCCUUCUAAAUCAGACUGCAGAUUUUUGGCACCAGUGUGAAGCCCGCUUUUAGAGAGCUAGGAGCUUUAUAGAUUAACAACAGUAAUUUAUUCCUUCUGGAAAAACCACCAGGUGUAGAACACCAGAUAUCUGAAUUCUUCAUAAAUUAGCAUCUUCCAAAUAAUGCUGAAAUUGUGAUAACCUCUCCAAUUCCUUACUUAUUUGAAUACAAGACCUACAUACUUGUAUGUAUAUCUAAAAUAUGCAUAUAUUUUUCAUCUGCACAUAUAAACAUUUUUAUCAGUAUGUUACUGAUGAUAUAUCUUACUAUCAUACUGCUCCCUUCUCUUUGUGUAUUUUUCAGUAUUUUGCCCUGCAACAUUUGUAAAAUAAUCCGACCUUGUUUCAAGGAUAGAGCUCUUGGUUUAGCAGAGCUAAACUGGCAGUAGCAGAAAACCAAGAGCAGUUGAGCCCAUGCUGUUCACUAAGGCACUGACCCAGGACUAACACAGGCCAAGGCUGGUACAGAACUUUACCAUCCCCAUGAGAGUUUUGUAGCUGUACCUGCGUCAGCUGCCUGGUGGGGAGGAGUU